AGAUACUGCUAGGGGAGCCGUUUAGGCUGAGACACAUCAUAGAUGUAAACCCUUCGAACCUGAUCUAGUUCAUACUAGCGUAGGGAAGCAGCUGAAACUCUAC
rfam:Sporosarcina psychrophila strain DSM 6497, complete genome.